AACCCCGAAUUCCUAUUCUCUCUGAUUCUUUCCGGAGCGUAUCGACAGCGCUCAGAGAAUUUACCCGACCAAUUCGCAUCUCAAGCACCAUCUAUUUCUUCAAGUGGGUUUUCUCUCUUUGUAGUGAGUAUAUGAUUUCUUGAGGGAAAUAGUCCACUCUUGCCUCAGUCUGCAAUUCAAUUGUAGCAAUUUCUCGGGUCAUUCAUGGCGGAACAAACUUUAGAGACAAGGCAUGGAUUGAGAGGGAUGUACUGUCGCGAGUCUUCGGCAUGUCAAUGGAGGCGACGGGGUGCAAAGACUUAAUAGAGGUCAUGUUGAUAAUACACGAAGCUUAUGUUGUGUGUAGACAGAGAAUAAAGCGAAUGAAGUAUCUGAUAGGACAAGGAAUGGCAGAUCAUAAUAUUGGCUUAUAGACAUGAUCAAUUCCAUACGAUGGGAUACCAUGAUGGUCUACUGUUUCAGCAAUUUCAGAUUCUUUCAUUUACGUUUAUGAGUCGUUGAGUUUUAUCAAUCCCAGUUGAAGUUAUAUAUCCCUACAUCUGUUUGAUUUUACUGAGAAUGCAAAUGCAGGUUCCUUCUCAGUUCUCACUGAUGCAAAGUCACAAGUCUAGCAUUGAUGUUGAUUAUAUAUAUGAUCUUGUAGAUGCCGAUUGACUAGUUGUAGAUUACAAUUUGUUGUAGUCUUGCAGAUACUUUUGAGGCAUUUUUUUCUUUAGCCAAAAUGAGACAAAGGUAACAGCUGUACUGUUGUAGCUGCAGAUCAAUGAUCAAAGUUGUUUUCUUAAAUGUCAGUGUUAUUUUUUUUUA